ACUUUAGCUGCCUCACUGUUCCCAGGGAGCUAGUAUUUGGUGCUAACAGUGCUGCCUGGUGCAUGAUUCUUAAACAAACGCAGGACUCAACCUAUAUCACCUAGUCUCUGGCAACAGCUUUGUUUUGCAAGAGGACAUAUGUAGGUAGGAGGACAGAGAGAGCCAUCUCUGCCGUGUCUGUUAAGCAUCACCUGUCUGCUGCCCAGCUUAUUAAUUUGCAUUCAGUAUCUCCAGCCUCUAGGUCACCCUCAACCCACAGAUCAUCUAUGAAGAAGCUAUGAGACGAAAGGCUUUGGAUCUUGAGCAAGCAAACUGCUGCUUUCAUUCCGAGAACUGCACUUUCUAAGCACUCAGGAGCCUUCUGGUUAGCGGAAGAAUCACGACAAUCCACAGGAGUUUCUGUUCUCUGAAGAUGAGUAGCCAUUGAGUGGCAUUCAUCAGAAGAUGAGAGAUUUCCGUCCGAGAGCUGAACUGGUCCCCUGAUGGCCAAAGGCUGCUUUGUUCCAGCCAGUGUGCCUAUCUCCCGCCUUCUUCAGAGCCACACAUUCAGACGCAAAACCCACAUUCCACCCACUCACCAGUAUUUGCUCUGAUCCCUUCUCUUGCUCCUUGUCUUUACUCUCACCUUGCCCACUCUCUCUGCUUGAUGGGGUCAGUUUUCUCUCACUUUCCCACAAGAGCUUCUCGGUUUCAAGGCUGUGCCCGGAACUGCCUCCCUCUCGCCAUCUGGCAGCGUUCGGCUGCAUCUUCCCACAAGGCCUUUGCAAAAAGAUGUUAACUUUCACUCAGUGACUCCUUAAUACAUGAAUAUGUACAUAGUGUUUUCCACUUGGUUGAGUAAAGACUUUAGCAUUGACUCUUGCUUACAAUGCUUAGGUUAAUUGCUAUUUUCCUGAAGGCAUGGUAACCAGUGUCCUUUUAAGUAUUCAGUGCCAAAUUCAAGAAACAUUAAUGGAGCACAUGUCAGUCACUGGUUAGAGUUAAUAGGUCAGGGCCAGUCUCAGUUUUAUUACAGGAACUGGAAAUGUAAACUAGCCUGCGGCCCUUGAUGAGGCAAGCCAAAGCAGCAAUGUCUUUGUACACUUGUAGACUAGGUAAGAAUCUCUCCUGUUCACUUACCUGGUUGAGUUGUAAUUGUUCAGGUCAUGCUUGUCUCCCUUCUCUAGUCUGAAGUCCUUGAAGGAAGAAAACUGCAGUGCUUGUCUUGGGUCCUGAUCAGAGUAUGUGAUCAGCAACUAUUUUUUCAGUGGAUUUUGUUAUACUUAUCAGGAC
rnacentral:lncRNA from 1 species